UGCGUUUUUACUUGACGCUGUUUUCGUCGACCUACGUUGUAUUAUACCGCAUAACUUUCUACUGGAUGUACCGAUUUUGAUAAUUCUUUUUUUUGUUGGAAAGGAGAUAUCCCUAUUUAGUACCAUGAUAAGGAAACCAGGAUCUGAUGAUGGGAUCCUAGAGAAAUCGAGAGAAACUCUUGAAAAUCCGCAAUAACUUUUAACUGGGUGUACCGAU
rnacentral:misc_RNA from 1 species